rnacentral:tRNA from 1 species
UGGCUCAGUCGGUGGAGCAUGGGAUUCUUGAUCUCAGGGUUGUGAGUUCAAGCCCCAC